rnacentral:rRNA from 1 species
AUGGCGAGCAGCGGCGAGGUGCAGAGAUCGCUGCAGGCGGUGGCGCAGGGGCUGCGGUGGACGUACGCCCUCCUCUGGCAACUCUGCCCCGACCAAGGAGCGCUGGUGUGGGCGGAGGGGCACUACAACGGCGCCAUCAAGACGCGCAAGACGGUGCAGCCGGCCGUUGCCCAGGCGCAGGUACCGGCGCCGGCGGCGGAGGCAGCCGACCAGGCCCGGAGCCGGCAGCUGCGGGAGCUGUUCGACUCGCUGGCCAGGGAGGCUGCCGCGGGCGGCGGGACAGGCUUCAGGGACGUCCACGGCUGCGCCCAGGAGGCUCGGCGGCCCAGCGCGGCGCUGGCUCCGGAAGACCUGACGGAGACGGAGUGGUUCUAUCUCAUGUCUGCCUCUUACUCCUUCCCUCCCGGCGUCGGGUUACCUGGAAGGGCCUUUGCAAGGGGAGGGCACGUAUGGCUUAGUAGAGCAAAUGAAGUUGACAGCAAGGCAUUCUCAAGAGCAAUACUUGCCAGGAGUGCAGGAAUCAAGACGGUCGUAUGCAUUCCGAUUGUCGAUGGUGUCCUAGAAAUCGGGACCACAGAAAAGGUGGAGGAAGACAUGGGUUUGGUCCAGUAUGCAAUGGCCAUCUUCAUGGAUCAACAAGAAACCCACAUGAUCUCUAGCAUCUGCCAUUCCAACCAAACCAGCCACAUUGACCAACAGUCAUUCCAAACGCAGAGGAAGACACCCACUGGUCAGCCAAAGCCGGAGCCAAACAAGUUCAACCCAGAAUACGAGGACGAUGAAAUGGAGUACGACGACGACGAGAUCGAUGCAGAGUGCGCGUCGGGUUCAGCAAGCCAUGAUGAUCAUACAACACAUAAUGCAGGGAGCAGCGAGCUGAUGCAGGUUGAGACGUCAGAGAGGGUGAGAGAUGGCUGCUCAAGCAACUUUGGUGAUGAGAUCCAAAUGCUGAUGGUUUGCCAGAACAGCACUGAUGAUCAUUCCAAUUUGCAUGGGCAAAAUGAAGCUUGGCAUUUUCUCUACGAGGAGCUAUGCAGUGGCUACCCUCAAUCGUCAGCUGCAGGUGAGAACCAAGCAAUGGCUGAAAAUGCUCACUACGCACAGACACUCUCGUUGAUCCUGCAUCGCAACAACGCCCUGAGACAGGGCGGCGGCCUGAACACCGGGUCCUACCUGGCAGUCUCACUCCAAUCUUCAUUCUCCAGAUGGGAUGCUGGCAUCCAUGGACGCACGGUCGCCCAAGGCACCACCCGGCAGAAGAUGCUCAAGAGUGUCCUCCUGUUCUUCAGUGCUGCCUGCAACAAGCCACCGGGCGAUCCGAGGUGCGACGAUGCCGGCGCGCGGAGGGAGGUCGACUUCGGCGCCAGCCAUGUCAUGCAGGAGCGGAAGAGAAGGGAGAAGCUCAACGAGCGGUUCAUCGUCCUGCGGUCCCUGGUGCCCUUCGUCACCAAGAUGGACAAGGCCUCGAUCCUCGGCGACACGAUCGAGUACGUGAAGCAGCUGACGAAACGCAUCCAGGACCUUGAAUCAUCGACGGUCAGGGGGCCGGCGAUGUCGAAAGAGAAGCGUGCGCUGCCGACGGGCAUGGAAGGGGCCAGCAGCAGCAGCGGCAGCACCCCUGUGGCCACGGACGUGCAGGUCUCCAUCAUCGAGAGCGACGCGUUGCUGGAGCUCCGGUGCCCCGACACGCACGGCCUGCUGGUGACCAUCAUGCAGACGCUCCAGGAGCAGCUCCGGCUCGAGGUCACCUCCGUCCAGGCGUCGUCGGACCACGGCGUGCUGCUCGCCGAACUGCGCGCCAAGGUGAGGGAGGUGCAUGGGAGGAGGAGCAGCAUUUCUCAAGUGAAGAGAGCGAUCCAUCUCAUCAUCUCAUCAGGAUGA